CUACGGGCUGCACCAGUGGGGAAUCUUAGACAAUGGGCGCAAGCCUGAUCUAGCCAUGCCGCGUGAGUGAUGAAGGCCUUAGGGUCGUAAAGCUCUUUCGCUGGGGAAGAUAAUGACGGUACCCAGUAAAGAAACCCCGGCUAACUCCGUGCCAGCAGCCGCGGUAAUACGGAGGGGGUUAGCGUUGUUCGGAAUUACUGGGCGUAAAGCGCGCGUAGGCGGACUGUUAAGUCGGGGGUGAAAUCCCGGGGCUCAACCCCGGAACGGCCUUCGAUACUGGCAGUCUGGAGUUCGAGAGAGGUGAGUGGAAUUCCGAGUGUAGAGGUGAAAUUCGUAGAUAUUCGGAGGAACACCAGUGGCGAAGGCGGCUCACUGGCUCGAUACUGACGCUGAGGUGCGAAAGUGUGGGGAGCAAACAGGAUUAGAUACCCCAGUAGUC
rnacentral:rRNA from 1 species